rnacentral:rRNA from 1 species
AGAGUUUGAUCCUGGCUCAGAUUGAACGCUGGCGGCAUGCCUUACACAUGCAAGUCGAACGGCAGCACGAGAGCUUGCUCUUGGUGGCGAGUGGCGAACGGGUGAGUAAUAUAUCGGAACGUACCCUAGAGUGGGGGAUAACGUAGCGAAAGUUACGCUAAUACCGCAUACGAUCUACGGAUGAAAGUGGGGGAUCGCAAGACCUCAUGCUCAUGGAGCGGCCGAUAUCUGAUUAGCUAGUUGGUGGGGUAAAAGCUCACCAAGGCGACGAUCGGUAGCUGGUCUGAGAGGACGACCAGCCACACUGGAACUGAGACACGGUCCAGACUCCUACGGGAGGCAGCAGUGGGGAAUUUUGGACAAUGGGCGCAAGCCUGAUCCAGCAAUGCCGCGUGAGUGAAGAAGGCCUUCGGGUUGUAAAGCUCUUUUGUCAGGGAAGAAACGGUGGACUCUAAUACAGAUCACUAAUGACGGUACCUGAAGAAUAAGCACCGGCUAACUACGUGCCAGCAGCCGCGGUAAUACGUAGGGUGCAAGCGUUAAUCGGAAUUACUGGGCGUAAAGCGUGCGCAGGCGGUUGUGCAAGACAGAUGUGAAAUCCCCGGGCUCAACCUGGGAAUUGCAUUUGUGACUGCACGGCUAGAGUGUGUCAGAGGGGGGUAGAAUUCCACGUGUAGUAGUGAAAUGCGUAGAGAUGUGGAGGAAUACCGAUGGCGAAGGCAGCCCCCUGGGAUAACACUGACGCUCAUGCACGAAAGCGUGGGGAGCAAACAGGAUUAGAUACCCUGGUAGUCCACGCCCUAAACGAUGUCUACUAGUUGUCGGGUCUUAAUUGACUUGGUAACGCAGCUAACGCGUGAAGUAGACCGCCUGGGGAGUACGGUCGCAAGAUUAAAACUCAAAGGAAUUGACGGGGACCCGCACAAGCGGUGGAUGAUGUGGAUUAAUUCGAUGCAACGCGAAAAACCUUACCUACCCUUGACAUGUCUGGAAUCCUUGAGAGAUCAGGGAGUGCUCGAAAGAGAAUCAGAACACAGGUGCUGCAUGGCUGUCGUCAGCUCGUGUCGUGAGAUGUUGGGUUAAGUCCCGCAACGAGCGCAACCCUUGUCAUUAGUUGCUACGAAAGGGCACUCUAAUGAGACUGCCGGUGACAAACCGGAGGAAGGUGGGGAUGACGUCAAGUCCUCAUGGCCCUUAUGGGUAGGGCUUCACACGUCAUACAAUGGUACAUACAGAGGGCCGCCAACCCGCGAGGGGGAGCUAAUCCCAGAAAGUGUAUCGUAGUCCGGAUUGUAGUCUGCAACUCGACUACAUGAAGUUGGAAUCGCUAGUAAUCGCGGAUCAGCAUGUCGCGGUGAAUACGUUCCCGGGUCUUGUACACACCGCCCGUCACACCAUGGGAGCGGGUUUCACCAGAAGUGGGUAGCCUAACCGCAAGGAGGGCGCUCACCACGGUGGGAUUCGUGACUGGGGUGAAGUCGUAACAAGGUA